rnacentral:rRNA from 1 species
UACAGAGGGUGCGAGCGUUAAUCGGAAUUACUGGGCGUAAAGCGCGCGUAGGCGGCUUUGCAAGUCGGGUGUGAAAUCCCCAGGCUUAACCUGGGAACUGCAUUCGAGACUGCAUUGCUAGAGUAUGGGAGAGGGAAGUGGAAUUUCAGGUGUAGCGGUGAAAUGCGUAGAUAUCUGAAGGAACAUCAGUGGCGAAAGCGACUUCCUGGACCAAUACUGACGCUCAUGUGCGAAAAGCGUGGGGGAGCAAACAGG